AACGCUAGCUACAGGCUUAACACAUGCAAGUCGAGGGGAAACGACAUCGAAAGCUUGCUUUUGAUGGGCGUCGACCGGCGCACGGGUGAGUAACGCGUAUCCAACCUGCCCACCACUUGGGGAUAACCUUGCGAAAGUAAGACUAAUACCCAAUGAUAUCCCACGAAGGCAUCGGAAUGGGAUUAAAGAUUUAUCGGUGAUGGAUGGGGAUGCGUCUGAUUAGCUUGUUGGCGGGGUAACGGCCCACCAAGGCAACGAUCAGUAGGGGUUCUGAGAGGAAGGUCCCCCACAUUGGAACUGAGACACGGUCCAAACUCCUAUGGGAGGCAGCAGUGAGGAAUAUUGGUCAAUGGGCGAGAGCCUGAACCAGCCAAGUAGCGUGCAGGAUGACGGCCCUAUGGGUUGUAAACUGCUUUUAUAAGGGAAUAAAGUGAGUCUCGUGAGACUUUUUGCAUGUACCUUAUGAAUAAGGACCGGCUAAUUCCGUGCCAGCAGCCGCGGUAAUACGGAAGGUCCGGGCGUUAUCCGGAUUUAUUGGGUUUAAAGGGAGCGUAGGCCGGAGAUUAAGCGUGUUGUGAAAUGUAGUGGCUCAACCUCUGCACUGCAGCGCGAACUGGUCUUCUUGAGUACGCACAACGUGGGCGGAAUUCGUGGUGUAGCGGUGAAAUGCUUAGAUAUCACGAAGAACUCCGAUUG
rnacentral:rRNA from 2 species